ACGAACGCUGGCGGCGCGCCUAACACAUGCAAGUCGAACGGAGCUGAGAGAAGCUUGCUUUUCUUAGCUUAGUGGCGAACGGGUGAGUAACGCGUGAGUAACCUGCCCUGGAGUGGGGGACAACAGUUGGAAACGACUGCUAAUACCGCAUAAGCCCACGAUCCGGCAUCGGAUUGAGGGAAAAGGAUUUAUUCGCUUCAGGAUGGACUCGCGUCCAAUUAGCUAGUUGGUGAGGUAACGGCCCACCAAGGCGACGAUUGGUAGCCGGACUGAGAGGUUGAGCGGCCACAUUGGGACUGAGACACGGCCCAGACUCCUACGGGAGGCAGCAGUGGGGGAUAUUGCACAAUGGGGGAAACCCUGAUGCAGCGACGCCGCGUGGAGGAAGAAGGUUUUCGGAUUGUAAACUCCUGUCGUGAGGGACGAUAAUGACGGUACCUAACAAGAAAGCACCGGCUAACUACGUG
rnacentral:rRNA from 1 species